GCGAACGGGUGAGUACACGUGGGUGAUCUGCCCUGCACUUUGGGAUAAGCCUGGGAAACUGGGUCUAAUACCGAAUAGGACCACGGCCUUCAUGGGUUGUGGUGGAAAGCUUUUGCGGUGUGGGAUGGGCCCGCGGCCUAUCAGCUUGUUGGUGGGGUAAUGGCCUACCAAGGCGACGACGGGUAGCCGGCCUGAGAGGGUGACCGGCCACACUGGGACUGAGAUACGGCCCAGACUCCUACGGGAGGCAGCAGUGGGGAAUAUUGCACAAUGGGCGCAAGCCUGAUGCAGCGACGCCGCGUGAGGGAUGACGGCCUUCGGGUUGUAAACCUCUUUCAAUAGGGACGAAGCGCAAGUGACGGUACCUGUAGAAGAAGGACCGGCCAACUACGUGCCAGCAGCCGCGGUAAUACGUAGGGUCCGAGCGUUGUCCGGAAUUACUGGGCGUAAAGAGCUCGUAGGUGGUUUGUCGCGUUGUUCGUGAAAACUCACAACUCAAUUGUGGGCGUGCGGGCGAUACGGGCAGACUAGAGUACUGCAGGGGAGACUGGAAUUCCUGGUGUAGCGGUGGAAUGCGCAGAUAUCAGGAGGAACACCGGUGGCGAAGGCGGGUCUCUGGGCAGUAACUGACGCUGAGGAGCGAAAGCGUGGGGAGCGAACAGGAUUAGAUACCCUGGUAGUCCACGCCGUAAACGGUGGGUACUAGGUGUGGGUUCCUUCCUUGGGAUCCGUGCCGUAGCUAACGCAUUAAGUACCCCGCCUGGGGAGUACGGCCGCAAGGCUAAAACUCAAAGAAAUUGACGGGGGCCCGCACAAGCGGCGGAGCAUGUGGAUUAAUUCGAUGCAACGCGAAGAACCUUACCUGGGUUUGACAUGCACAGGACGCCAGUAGAGAUAUUGGUUCCCUUGUGGCCUGUGUGCAGGUGGUGCAUGGCUGUCGUCAGCUCGUGUCGUGAGAUGUUGGGUUAAGUCCCGCAACGAGCGCAACCCCUAUCUUAUGUUGCCAGCGCGUUAUGGCGGGGACUCGUAAGAGACUGCCGGGGUCAACUCGGAGGAAGGUGGGGAUGACGUCAAGUCAUCAUGCCCCUUAUGUCCAGGGCUUCACACAUGCUACAAUGGCCGGUACAAAGGGCUGCGAAUCCGCGAGGUGGAGCGAAUCCCUUGAAAGCCGGUCUCAGUUCGGAUCGGGGUCUGCAACUCGACCCCGUGAAGUUGGAGUCGCUAGUAAUCGCAGAUCAG
rnacentral:rRNA from 1 species